rnacentral:rRNA from 1 species
AGUGAACGCUGGCGGCAGGCCUAACACAUGCAAGUCGAGCGGCAGCGCGUCCGACCACCCUCGGGUGGUCGGAUGGCGGCGAGCGGCGGACGGGUGAGGAAUGCAUCGGAAUCUGCCUCGUUGUGGGGGAUAACGUAGGGAAACUUACGCUAAUACCGCAUACGACCUACGGGUGAAAGUGGGGGACCUUCGGGCCUCACGCGAUGAGAUGAGCCGAUGCCGGAUUAGCUAGUUGGCGGGGUAAAGGCCCACCAAGGCGACGAUCCGUAGCUGGUCUGAGAGGAUGAUCAGCCACACUGGAACUGAGACACGGUCCAGACUCCUACGGGAGGCAGCAGUGAGGAAUAUUGGACAAUGGGGGAAACCCUGAUCCAGCAACGCCGCGUGAACGAUGACGCUGUUACGCAGUGUAAAGUUCUGUAAGGAGGGAAGAACCACCGGGUAUUGCCCGGUCUGACGGUACCUCCUAAGUAAGCACCGGCUAACUCCGUGCCAGCAG